rnacentral:rRNA from 1 species
CCGCUGCCCUUUGACUGGGCUCACACGUGCUACAUGGGCAGAACAAAGGGCAGCGAAGCCGCGAGGCUAAGCCAAUCCCACAAAUCUGUUCUCAGUUCGGAUCGCAGUCUGCAACUCGACUGCGUGAAGCUGGAAUCGCUAGUAAUCGCGGAUCAGCAUGCCGCGGUGAAUACGUUCCCGGGCCUUGUACACACCGCCCGUCACACCACGAGAGUUUGUAACACCCGAAGUCGGUGAGGUAACCUUUUGGAGCCAGCCGCCGAAGGUGGGACAGAUGAUUGGGGUGAAGUCGUAACAAGGUAACC